rnacentral:rRNA from 1 species
UACGUAGGGGGCAAGCGUUAUCCGGAUUUACUGGGUGUAAAGGGGGCGCAGACGGCGAUGCAGGCCAGGAGUGAAAGCCCGGGGCUCAACUCCGGGACUGCUUUUGAAACUGUGUUGCUAGAUUGCAGGAGAGGUAAGUGGAAUUCCUAGUGUAGCGGUGAAAUGCGUAGAUAUUAGGAGGAACACCAGUGGCGAAGGCGGCUUACUGGACUGUAAAUGACGCUGAGGCUCGAAAGCGUGGGGAGCAAACAGG